CCUACGGUGGGCAGCAGUGGGGAAUAUUGGACAAUGGGGGGAACCCUGAUCCAGCGACGCCGCGUGAGUGAAGACGUAUUUCGGUAUGUAAAGCUCUAUCAGCAGGGAGGAAAAUGACGGUACCUGACUCAGACGCCCCGGCUAACUACGUGCCAGCAGCCGCGGUAAUACGUAGGGGGCAAGCGUUAUCCGGAUUUACUGGGUGUAAAGGGAGCGUAGACGGUGCAGCAAGUAUGAUGUGAAAGGUCUGGGCACAACCCCGGGACUGCCUUGAAAACUGUUGAACCGGAGUACAGGAGAGGUAAGCGGAAUUCCUAGUGUAGCGGUGAAAUGCGUAGAGAUUAGAAGGAACACCAGUGGCGAAGGCGGCUUACUGGACUGUAACUGACGUUGAGGCUCGAAAGCGUGGGGAGCAAACAGGAUUAGAUACCCCAGUAGUC
rnacentral:rRNA from 1 species